UGGAAUAUCAGGUUCUUUCAGGAGAGGAAGAGCUCUGUUCUUAAGGAGAUAAAAUUAAUGGUUCAAAAGUUUUUAGUUUUAGAACCUUGAAACGAUGAUCCAUUGACCACAUUUAUGAUUUUAUUUUUAAUAUGCUGUAUCAUAUCUGGAGUUUAAUUUUUCCUUGUGAAUUUGAUAACACAGAACUCACAUGAUCAGGUUAUUAAGUGAACAGGAAAUAUGUUCUUGUGCUUCACAAGAUGUUGACACAGUUCAAGGUCUGAAUCUUUAUGAUUUAUAGCUUCCUGUGCU
rnacentral:lncRNA from 1 species